rnacentral:rRNA from 1 species
GACGAACGCUGGCGGCGUGCUUAACACAUGCAAGUCGAACGGUAAGGCCCUCCGGGGUACACGAGUGGCGAACGGGUGAGUAACACGUGGGUGAUCUGCCCUGCACUUCGGGAUAAGCCUGGGAAACUGGGUCUAAUACCGGAUAGGACUCCGGACUGCAUGGUCUGGGGUGGAAAGCUUUGGGGGGGUGGGAUGGGCCCGCGGCCUAUCAGCUUGUUGGGGGGGUGAUGGCCUACCAGGGCGACGACGGGUAGCCGGCCUGAGAGGGUGGCCGGACACACUGGGACGGAGAUACGGCCCAGACGCGUACGGGAGGCAGGAGUGGGGAAUAUUGCACGAUGGGCGCAAGCCUGAUGCAGCGACGCCGCGUGAGGGAUGACGGCCUUCGGGUUGUAAACCUCUUUCAGCAUCGACGAAGCGAAAGUGACGGUAGGUGCAGAAGAAGGACCGGCCAACUACGUGCCAGCCGCCGCCGUAA